UACGAAGGGGGCGAGCGUUGUUCGGAAUUACUGGGCGUAAAGGGCGCGUAGGCGGCGAUCCUAGUCAGAUGUGAAAGUCCUGGGCUUAACCUGGGGACUGCAUUUGAUACUGGAUUGCUUGAAUUCGGGAGAGGAUAGCGGAAUUCCCAGUGUAGAGGUGAAAUUCGUAGAUAUUGGGAAGAACACCGGUGGCGAAGGCGGCUAUCUGGACCGACAUUGACGCUGAGGCGCGAAAGCGUGGGGAGCGAACAGG
rnacentral:rRNA from 1 species